GUGCUCAAUUCGGCAACACCUACACUAAAAUUGAAAUGAUACAGAGAAGAUUACCAUGGCCCCUGUGCAAGGAUGACAAGCAAACUCAUGAGGUGUUCCAUAUUUUU